CAAAUUUUAAUACUUACCAAGAAAUAAUGAGUUAGAGAUGUUUACUAUACCUCAAACCUGUCAUCCUGAUUUAAUAAAGCUGGAAAGAUGGGUAUUUCAAACUUCUGUAGUUGAAUCUAGCUUUUAAAAACUCAUGAUAUCUUCUGCCAACAGAAGAAAUAACUAAUCUGAGUUUAGCUGGAUUUUCAUUUGCCUAAAAGCAAACUUUACUAGCCUGAUGAAAAAAGAGUAAGCCUUCAGUAACAAACAAACAAAUAAAUAAAUAAAUAAAAAUUAGAAAAAGAAUGUGGCCACUUCCUUGGCUUUUAACAUAUUCUAUUUUUCUUGUUCUUCUCUUGUUUUUAUGCUAGCAUCAUAAAUAUUUCUGUUCUGCGACCACAAAGGGAAAUGGAGAGGCAUCUUAUUGCUUGGCAUGCUUCUCAGCAAGGAUGUUGGGAGAAUUCAACAAAUAUCACAUAUACUUUUCUGCAGAAAAUUAAAAAAAGCAACAGGAAGCAAGCUAGAUUCAGAACCAUAGAGACAUCCUUCUUCCCACUGCCUCCUUGGAAAG
rnacentral:lncRNA from 1 species